UUUAUUGGAGAGUUUGAUCCUGGCUCAGGACGAACGCUGGCGGCGUGCCUAAUACAUGCAAGUCGAGCGAGU
rnacentral:rRNA from 1 species